rnacentral:rRNA from 1 species
AUGCUGGAGGUAUCAGAAGUGCGAAUGCUGACAUAAGUAACGAUAAAGCGGGUGAAAAGCCCGCUCGCCGGAAGACCAAGGGUUCCUGUCCAACGUUAAUCGGGGCAGGGUGAGUCGACCCCUAAGGCGAGGCCGAAAGGCGUAGUCGAUGGGAAACAGGUUAAUAUUCCUGUACUUGGUGUUACUGCGAAGGGGGGACGGAGAAGGCUAUGUUGGCCGGGCGACGGUUGUCCCGGUUUAAGCGUGUAGGCUGGUUUUCCAGGCAAAUCCGGAAAAUCAAGGCUGAGGCGUGAUGACGAGGCACUACGGUGCUGAAGCAACAAAUGCCCUGCUUCCAGGAAAAGCCUCUAAGCAUCAGGUAACAUCAAAUCGUACCCCAAACCGACACAGGUGGUCAGGUAGAGAAUACCAAGGCGCUUGAGAGAACUCGGGUGAAGGAACUAGGCAAAAUGGUGCCGUAACUUCGGGAGAAGGCACGCUGAUAUGUAGGUGAAGUCCCUCGCGGAUGGAGCUGAAAUCAGUCGAAGAUACCAGCUGGCUGCAACUGUUUAUUAAAAACACAGCACUGUGCAAACACGAAAGUGGACGUAUACGGUGUGACGCCUGCCCGGUGCCGGAAGGUUAAUUGAUGGGGUUAGCGGUAACGCGAAGCUCUUGAUCGAAGCCCCGGUAAACGGCGGCCGUAACUAUAACGGUCCUAAGGUAGCGAAAUUCCUUGUCGGGUAAGUUCCGACCUGCACGAAUGGCGUAAUGAUGGCCAGGCUGUCUCCACCCGAGACUCAGUGAAAUUGAACUCGCUGUGAAGAUGCAGUGUACCCGCGGCAAGACGGAAAGACCCCGUGAACCUUUACUAUAGCUUGACACUGAACAUUGAGCCUUGAUGUGUAGGAUAGGUGGGAGGCUUUGAAGUGUGGACGCCAGUCUGCAUGGAGCCGACCUUGAAAUACCACCCUUUAAUGUUUGAUGUUCUAACGUUGGCCCCUGAUCGGGGUUGCGGACAGUGUCUGGUGGGUAGUUUGACUGGGGCGGUCUCCUCCUAAAGAGUAACGGAGGAGCACGAAGGUUGGCUAAUCCUGGUCGGACAUCAGGAGGUUAGUGCAAUGGCAUAAGCCAGCUUGACUGCGAGCGUGACGGCGCGAGCAGGUGCGAAAGCAGGUCAUAGUGAUCCGGUGGUUCUGAAUGGAAGGGCCAUCGCUCAACGGAUAAAAGGUACUCCGGGGAUAACAGGCUGAUACCGCCCAAGAGUUCAUAUCGACGGCGGUGUUUGGCACCUCGAUGUCGGCUCAUCACAUCCUGGGGCUGAAGUAGGUCCCAAGGGUAUGGCUGUUCGCCAUUUAAAGUGGUACGCGAGCUGGGUUUAGAACGUCGUGAGACAGUUCGGUCCCUAUCUGCCGUGGGCGCUGGAGAACUGAGGGGGGCUGCUCCUAGUACGAGAGGACCGGAGUGGACGCAUCACUGGUGUUCGGGUUGUCAUGCCAAUGGCACUGCCCGGUAGCUAAAUGCGGAAGAGAUAAGUGCUGAAAGCAUCUAAGCACGAAACUUGCCCCGAGAUGAGUUCU